UGGGGAAUUUUGGACAAUGGGCGCAAGCCUGAUCCAGCAAUGCCGCGUGUGUGAAGAAGGCCUUCGGGUUGUAAAGCACUUUUGUCCGGAAAGAAAUCCGUCUGGCUAAUACCCGGACGGGAUGACGGUACCGGAAGAAUAAGCACCGGCUAACUACGUGCCAGCAGCCGCGGUAAUACGUAGGGUGCGAGCGUUAAUCGGAAUUACUGGGCGUAAAGCGUGCGCAGGCGGCUUUGUAAGACAGAUGUGAAAUCCCCGGGCUCAACCUGGGAACUGCAUUUGUGACUGCAAGGCUAGAGUGCGUCAGAGGGAGGUGGAAUUCCGCGUGUAGCAGUGAAGUGCGUAGAGAUGCGGAGGAACACCGAUGGCGAAGGCAGCCUCCUGGGAUGACACUGACGCUCAUGCACGAAAGCGUGGGGAGCAAACA
rnacentral:rRNA from 1 species